AUGACCACAUCACAUUGAAACACUGGUUUCCUCAUGAUCACUAAAGUUAAGCAAUGUUGAGCCUGGUCAGGAGCUUGAUGGGUGACCACUUGGGAAUACCAGAUGUUGUAAG